rnacentral:rRNA from 1 species
UAGGGAAUCUUCCACAAUGGACGCAAGUCUGAUGGAGCAACGCCGCGUGAGUGAAGAAGGUUUUCGGACCGUAAAGCUCUGUUGUUGGUGAAGAAGGAUAGAGGUAGUAACUGGCCUUUAUUUGAGGUAAUCAACCAGAAAGUCACGGCUAACUACGUGCCAGCAGCCGCGGUAAUACGUAGGUGGCAAGCGUUGUCCGGAUUUAUUGGGCGUAAAGCGAGCGCAGGCGGAAGAAUAAGUCUGAUGUGAAAGCCCUCGGCUUAACCGAGGAAUUGCAUCGGAAACUGUUUUCUUGAGUGCAGAAGAGGAGAGUAGAACUCCAUGUGUAGCGGUGGAAUGCGUAGAUAUAUGGAAGAAUACCAGUGGCGAAGGCGGCUCUCUGGUCUGCAACUGACGCUGAGGCUCGAAAGCAUGGGUAGCGAACAGGAUUAGAU